AUGGAGGUCGUGCCCGACAACGCCGGCGUUGCAGCGGCCGAGCAGUACCGUGGGGUGAGGAAGAGGAAGUGGGGCAAAUGGGUGUCCGAGAUCAGGGAGCCCGGCAAGAAGACGCGCAUCUGGCUUGGCAGCUUCGAGUCGCCGGAGAUGGCCGCCGUGGCGCACGACGUGGCCGCGCUCCGGCUACGGGGGCACGAGGCCAGGCUCAACUUCCCGGGCCUCGUCCACCUCUUCCGCCGGCCGGACACCGCCGAGCCUGACGACGUCCGUGCGGCUGCGCUGGAGGCCGCGGCCCAAGUCCGGUUCAGACCCGACCUCGUGCUACAGCCGGGCGGCUGUGGCAGCAGCGGCGGCGGCGGAUUCCCGGACCGGCUCGAUGACGUGGCGUGGGAUGCCAUGCUUCGCUCUGAUGAUCUGGAGCCCGAGUCGCCCAACAUGUGGGCGGAGCUGGCGGAGGCCAUGCUGUUGGCCCCGCCUGUCUGGGAGGGCAGCGCGGUGGACAAUGACGAGUGGUCCCAAGGCUCGCUCUGGGACCCGUCUUGCUGGAGCUACUGA
rnacentral:rRNA from 1 species